rnacentral:rRNA from 1 species
CAGUAGCCGCGGUAAAACGUAGGUGGCGAGCGUUGUCCGGAAUCAUUGGGCGUAAAGGGAGCGCAGGCGGGCAUGUAAGUCUUUCUUAAAAGUUCGGGGCUCAACCCCGUGAUGGGAAAGAAACUACAUGUCUUGAGUACAGGAGAGGAAAGCGGAAUUCCCAGUGUAGCGGUGAAAUGCGUAGAUAUUGGGAGGAACACCAGUGGCGAAGGCGGCUUUCUGGACUGCAACUGACGCUGAGGCUCGAAAGCCAGGGGAGCGAACGGGAUUAGAUACCCGCGUAGUCCCUGUCUCUUAUACA